AAAGAGUCUACUCUGACUUCCUGCUGCCUGGUGCACUGCUGUUAAAAUGUCUUUGGGGAAAUAUAUGGUGAAAAAGUUUAGAAUACCACAAGACAAAGUGAAGAGCAGUAUGCGGGACUUAAUGACCAUGUUUGCUGGGGCCACAGGCACAAGUGAUGGCAUGUGCAAUACUGUGGCUGAGGAGAAACCACUGUCUGUGAGAAGUGGAGACCUGGCCUUAUGUUUUUCACGCAUGUUUUCUCUAGUCCUGGUUUUGUUAAAUGGUGAGACCAUGUCAAUCAGUAAGGAAUCAGAAAAGGCCUGGGUUUCUAGAGGUUUUUAUUUUUAAAUUUUAUUUUUAUAAGAUCUCUUGGGUUCCUUGAAUUUUAGAGUAGCAGAGGUUAAUUUAGGGAGUUACUUUUGGUCCAUGAAUGUCAAACUGCGGUAUUGCAGGUUGUGUGUGGGAAGGCUGUUCUAGUUUGCUGAGUGAUGGUUUGGUUAUCUCCCAUGUCUCCAGCUGUUGGGAGAGACAGAUAACAGAGGGAGGGGCUGACCUGUGAAUAUUGUAAAAACAGGAUUUUCUGGUUUCAGAUGAACAAAUAAAAGAAAAGAGAAAGGAAAUGCCCUGCCCUUUUGUGAAGUAUUACCAAUCUCCAGGCUGGACUAUGAGAAACAUGUCACCAGAUAAGGCUGAAUGUUACUCCUGAAGUAAUUAUGCUUUAGUUACUUAUUAGUUUCUACUUUUAUUUUAAAAAUAUAGAAACCUGUGGCAAUUUCAUGUUUCAUACCCACUGGAAACACUUCCUGUACCGAGAGCAAAUGGUUAAUGGGCAGAUGGCGGCUGCUCUGUUCUUCUGGUCUGCAAAACUGAGAUGAGACUGCAGGGAGGCAUUUACAAGGAAACACAUGUCUAACUUCACAAUUAGUCUGUUUUGCCUUGUAUCUUAACUAGCUCAGAAAUUGUUAUGCUUCCAGCCAGUUACAGAAGGAGGAAAGCAUUGUGUACAAACAAAAUAAUGUCCAAUUACUUAAGCUCAAUUCAGAGAGUGUCUAGACUCUGUAACUUGAAAUUGUAACUCCAGUGUCACAUGCAGCAUUGCUCGGUCUGACCACAGCAGUUAAUACAAAGACAUUACAGUCACCUCAUUAAGGAAAGAAGUUCUCGUGGCUUAUAAAAUGAUUGAUCCAGUUUCACAUGUAGCAAAAUGUUUCAUUUUGCAUUAGGCUUUUCACUUUAAUCAUUGUUUUUGAAGGUGACUUGAAGGUUAUGCUCAUCAGUGAGUGUAGUGUAAAAACUUUUUAAAAAUCUGUAACAUUUGUUUUCCCUCUUUGCCUCAUAUUUUUGAAGAGCGUUUAUCACACUAAUAUUUCUCAUAGAAAGAAAUGUAAGGCUUUGCAUUUUUUUUUACCCUAAUGACAUAAGGCUAUGGAAUCUUUGGAAAGUAUGAACAAGAAAGAAAAAAAGCAUAAAAAUUUAGCUGAAUUUUCAACAGUGUUGAGUUUGACUCUGGUACUUUUAUAAUUUAUUUUACAUAAGUAAGUUACACAUAUGAUUUAGCUGAAAAUUUAAAAUUUACACAUUUUUAUCAUAAGUUAUGGCGUGUUUUAAAUCCCUUUAGAGGGAAAUACAGAGCAUAUUCUGAGCAUACUCAGUAGAUAAAGUGCGGAUGUUAAUUGUGUAGUUAAGGGAUAGCUAAUGUGAGGUCAUAGCUGACUACAGUGGGGAGAGACCCUUUGCACAAAGGGCUUAUUCAUAUUUGUCAUAUUCAUAAGACAUUUGUUGGGUCAAAUAAUAAGGUGAGAAAAAUAAGGAGUCGGGCAUUUUCUUCCUCCUUGCCAUAUUUCUUUACCUUUCAGAGAAUAUUUUUUUCUGAUACAGAACAAUGUGAGGAUGGAUGCGGGAACCAGGCAGCAAACAAGAGGCUCUGGAAGGAAGACACCACCGUCACGUUGAUGUUGAGAGCAAAAUAAACACAUCAUCAGGAUGGAAAGGCUGUUGUCAGGAAAAUUGGGAUGUACAUGUCUUUAUCAUCUUUAAUUAAACUAUGUCUAUCUGAACCAUGGUGCUCUUUUGCUAGCAUUAAACAGUGAAAUGGUGUUUGUUUCCCUCACCAGAAUUUUUGUUCAUUGAAUACUGCCUUAUAUUUUGUUAGUGACUAUUUUUAUGAAAAGUUAAUUAAAGUAUUUAAAAAAUUUGGAAACAUUUCAUAUCUUCACAUUGUUCCAAAUAUAAGCUUAGUCAGUUUUGAAAUUCUGUAUCUGGAAAUUUAAUAUUUUAAGGAGGAAAGAUUUAGCUUUCUGCUUGAACAUAGCUUGAUUUUUUUUUUUUUUUUUUGCUGUGUAAUGCCUUCACCCCACCACCUGGAACCAGUUCUGUCAAAGACAGAGGAGGAGGCCUUACACUAUUUUUUUAUAAAGUAUAUCAGCUAGCUUUCCUAAAAGUGAUUCUAAAAAUAAAAUUCAGUAGGUGCAUAAUAAAACAGUUCUGCUGUAUUAAUUUUCAGCAUGAUUUUAACUGGACACGUUGGCUUUCUCUGUGAAGGGGAAGACCCUGAUGAUGUGCACUUGAAUUUCUAAACCCCUGCAUUGCUCAUAACUUUGCAGCAGUGCAGCUACAGAGUAUUUAUAGCACAUUUUAUCCCAAGCUCACCACAGCCUGACUUAGCAAGGGGCAUAAUUAUUUUAGUAGAAACUCUUGAUUAAAAUGAGCUUUAUAAAACUAGAGCAGAUCAAUGAUCUAUUAUCUUUGGACCAUAUUUCUGAAGAAAGCUAAACCCAGGGACAGAAAACAAAGUUAGGAAAAAGCCCCGCCUAUUAAUUAAGUCUCAUUGUACCAGGACUGGGCUCUUCCUUCAUAAUCCCUGCAGUUCUGAAAAGCUCAUUCAGAAUCCUCUGAAAAUGGGCUCACUGACAGAACUACUUCUUUUUACUUAGGUGGCCAUGGACAUCAUAUAAUUUAGAAUUUUUCAGUCACUUAUAUUUUAAAACUAACAUUCACUUAGUAUGGAAAUUUACAAAAUGCAGAGAGACAAUAAGUGUUUUCUUCUGGCUUUCCCCCUAUAAUAUAAAUACAGACAGACAUUUCUAUUUAUAUAACUCCACACCCUGUUUUGCAAAAUAAGUAUAUAAGUAUGUAGCUUGCUACCUUAGAGGAAGGAAUGCAGUAAUGCAUUCCGUGAGACCUGGGUUUUAGCCAACUGUUUAACUCUCAUUAUUCUCUUUAAGGAAAGAUUUCUUAGGGCCUUUUAGAUUAUGAAUGGUAAAAUAAUAAUACUCAAUAAUAUAAUACUAAUGAUAAUGGAUUAAGAACACUUAAUUUGGUCUGUGUAUUAAUUUCUGUCUGUUUUGGCCUCUUUCAUUCCUUACUUUAUUGAGAGCAGUGUCAUUGUGGAGCUGAUGGUGAGGUGACAGCAGUAGUUAGCUGUGAGCCGGCCUAGUCCUGCUUGGACACUGUAUUCCUUUCCAUUUUAUGGUGCCUUGAAUCCCAAAGCCAUCCUCAUCGGCUACCACCAUCAGAUUUUUCAUGUGAAUAGUGCUUUACAACAAAGAAGCAAAACAAAUGACAAAACCCACCUGUUACCUCAUCUGGCCUGGGGCAGACAGGAAAGAGAGCAAAUUAUUCCCAUUUUACAGGCAAUGAAGUUAACUGAGAGAUUGGUCCAAGGCCACCCAUUGGGUAAGUGGUAGAACCAGGACCAGAACUCAUAUCUUCUGACAUUAGUGCUAAUGUUUUUUAAAAAAUUCCUUCAUGAGGGCAUCAAAACCAGUCUUAAUCAGCAUGAUAAAAAAAGUAGGCAGACUUUACUAAUAAAUAAUAACUGGUCUUUAUGUGCCCAUCACUAUGCCAAGGCUUUACUGGAUUAUCUCAUUUAACCAUCACAGUCCUUUGAGAUGACACCAUUAUUAUCCACAAUUUGU